rnacentral:rRNA from 1 species
AUGGCUCAGAACGAACGCUGGCGGCGCGUUUAAGCGAUGCAAGUCGAGCGGCAAGGGCCUUCGGGCCCCUAGAGCGGCGGACGGGUGAGUAACACGUGGACAAUCUGCCCCCCGGCCCGGGAUAGCCCAGGGAAACCUGGAUUAAUACCGGAUGAGACGGGACCCGCGAUGGCGGGAUCCGGGAAAGGCGCUGCGGCGCCGCCGGGGGAUGAGUCUGCGUCCCAUUAGCUAGACGGCGGGGUAACGGCCCACCGUGGCGACGAUGGGUAGCCGGCCUGAGAGGGUGGACGGCCACAUUGGAACUGAGACACGGUCCAGACUCCUACGGGAGGCAGCAGCUAAGAAUCUUCCGCAAUGGGCGAAAGCCUGACGGAAGCGACGCCGCGUGAACGAAGAAGGCCGUGAGGUUGUAAAGUUCUUUUCGGGAGGGGGAACAACCGUGGCAGGGAAUGGCCGCGGGAUGACGUGAAUCCCGGAAUAAGCCCCGGCUAACUACGUGCCAGCCGCCGC